rnacentral:misc_RNA from 1 species
GAAGGUGCUCAUCACCGCCCCCGGCAAGGGUGACAUCCCCACCUACGUCGUCGGCGUCAAUGCCGACCAGUACAGCCCCGACGAGCCCAUCAUCAGCAACGCCUCCUGCACCACCAACUGCCUCGCCCCCUUCGUGAAGAUCCUCGACCAGAAGUUCGGCAUCAUCAAGGGGACGAUGACCACCACCCACUCCUACACCGGCGACCAGAGGCUGCUCGACGCGAGCCACCGUGACCUCCGGCGCGCGCGUGCGGCGGCGCUGAACAUCGUGCCGACGUCCACCGGCGCGGCCAAGGCCGUGGCGCUGGUGCUCCCGAACCUCAAGGGGAAGCUCAAC